CCCUACGGGAGGCAGCAGAGGGGAAUAUUGCACAAUGGAGGAAACUCUGAUGCAGCAACGCCGCAUGGAGGAAGAAGGUUUUCGGAUUGUAAACUCCUGUCUUUUGGGACGAUAAUGACGGUACCAAAAGAGGAAGCCACGGCUAACUACGUGCCAGCAGCCGCGGUAAUACGUAGGUGGCGAGCGUUGUCCGGAAUUACUGGGCGUAAAGGGCGCGUAGGCGGCCUAUUAAGUCAGAUGUGAAACCCCCAGGCUUAACUUGGGGAUUGCAUUUGAAACUGAUGGGCUCGAGUGUCGGAGAGGAAAGCGGAAUUCCUAGUGUAGCGGUGAAAUGCGUAGAUAUUAGGAGGAACACCAGUGGCGAAGGCGGCUUUCUGGACGAUAACUGACGCUGAGGCGCGAAAGCGUGGGGAGCAAACAGGAUUAGAUACCCUGGUAGC
rnacentral:rRNA from 1 species